AAACCCAGACCCAAACCCAGGGCUGCGCGUCGUUUGAUGCGAUUCCGGCGGCGAUCCAAGGCACCACCCCCAGCGCCCCCGGCGUAGCGUUCGGCGAUCCACCCCACCCCCUCCCUCCCCCGGCGGGCAUGGCUGGCGGCGUCGGCGGCGGCGGGCCCCGCGCCUCCUCCGACAGCAAGGCGGCGCGCUCCCCCAACCCGGCGAUCGACUCCACCAUCAAGUCCAUCAAGGAGGUCGUCGGCGGCCACUCCGAGGACGACAUCUACGACGCCCUCCGCGAGUCCAACAUGGACCCCAACGAGACGGCGCAGAGGCUCCUCAACCAAGAUCCAUUUCAUGAAGUGAGACGGAAAAGGGACAAGAAAAAAGAGAGUGCUGGUCAGAAGAACCCUUCUGAGACCACAGCACAAGGUGAGCAUGGCACGCAACGGACAAAGCCACACACUCAAAGGGUUGAGAUCGAUCAAAGAAGAGCACACAAUCAUGGCCAGACAUAUGGACCAAGUCGAGAAUUUCGGGUAGUGAGGGAUAACAGACACGGUGCGGUGGAAAAUGGAGCAGAGCAACACAAAGUUUCAACAUAUAUGCAAUCGUCUGAUAGGAGUGGAGUUGUAGUUCAAUCUGAUCGAAAUCGCCCACCACCUACAACCUCAGAAGGUCAGAUCACGCAUCAAAGUGCAAAGAGUAGCUACAACUCUGACAUGCAUCAGAUGAAGAGGGAUGCUCAGGGUACUGCUCAGAGGCAUGCAAGGCCAUAUCUGAAGAAUUCUCAGAAUGAACACCAGUAUCCUAAUUCUGAUCUACAUCAUGCUUCAUCCAAUUACAAAGCGGCUGGAGGAUUUGUCCGAGCCAAUCGAUGUGAAGCUGGAGUGGCUAAUGCUCCGAGACAGUAUUCUGGUCGUCCAGGUUCACAGUUCCAUGGAGCAAAUGAUUCUUAUCAUGCAAAUAUUCAAAGGGGGAAUUUUGCCUCAGCUGGGCCUUCUGUUCGCCGCCCAUCAUUUAUGCCUAGAAACACUCAACCCAAUCAUAGACCUGCAGUAGACACAGUAACUCGUGGCAGAUCUGUUGGUAGACCUUUUGGUAACCAAAACAACAGCAGGUAUCACCAGGGUCCUGCUAGCAACCAAAAAGUCAUACAACCAGCUAAGGAAUGGAAGCCAAAAUCGACAAAUAAGUCUUGCACCAACGAUGCUGAUAACAGUGGGACAAAUGCAACAUCUCCUUUAGAUAGCAAAGCUGAAAAUGCUAAUGUGCUGGAUGUGAACAGUUCGUGUGACAAAAGUUCUCAUGCUAACGUGCAUGAGAUGGAGCACGUGAUUAUCCCAGAACAUCUCCGUGUGCCAGAGUAUGAGCAGACAAGAUUGAGAUUCGGCAGUUUCACUCCUGGGUUUGAUUCGCCUGAGCAUGAGCAGACAAGAAUAAGAUUCGGCAGUUUCUCUCCCGGGUUUGAUUCAGACCAAUUACCAACUUCAACUUCUCCAGAACCGGAACAACCAGAACAUGUACAAGAAUCUGUUCAACUGGUUGUCCAAGAGGAUGAGUUUGAUACUGAACAUGACGAGGUGGAUGAGCAAGUUGGAUCACAACUCACUACUAUAUCCACAUCGGCGGCAGAGAGUUCUUUACCACCAUCUGAGGAUAGUGAACAGAUGAAUGGUCAAGAAGUUGAGGAUGAUGACGGACUGGGCUUAGUUCAGAGUGAUACUCCACUUGGUGCAGCAGAUGACCAUAAUAUUCAAAGCACCUCUGGUUUGACUGCCUUUUCUGCAUAUGGUCAUGAGGAUCCUAAUAUGCAUCCUAAUAAUGAGGCACAGUUAUACGGGCUGGUUGAGCCUAAUGUGCACCAACAAGUGUUGGCUUCAUCUUCUCAGGGGUACACUUCGGUGAAUCCAGGAGCAGAUAAUGCUGUGCAAGUAUUCAGAAUACCAGAAUCCAAUGUUCAUUCACAAGUUCUCCCUUCUGCAUCCGAGGCCCUAAGUUCACAGCUUGCGAGCAGCAGCCCUAUUGCAAUGUCUACACAGCAGCAACAUAUGUCCCAGCAACAACAAGCAGCGCAGAUGUACCCUCCAAUGCACGUGCAGCAUUAUCCGAAUUUCAUGCCAUAUCGACAUCCUCUCUAUUCUCCAGUUUAUGUCCCACCCAUGGCUAUGCCAAAUUAUUCAGCAAAUGUCCCUUAUCCGGCAAAUGGAAAUAAUUAUCUUCAGAUGGCCGGUGGGGGUUCACAUUUAACUGCAGGCCAAGUGAAGUAUGGAGUUUCACAAUAUAAACCAGUCCCAGCUGGUAACCCUUCUGGUUAUGGAAAUUACACUCAUCCAGCUGGUUAUACAAUUAGUUCUCCUGGUGUUAUUGGAGCUGGAGUUGGUGUUGAUGACGUCAAUAGGAUGAAGUACAAGGAUAACAACAUUUAUGCGCCAACCCCACAGGUAGAGACAUCUGAUAUCUGGAUUCAGAAUAGAGAGAUCCCAACUUUGCAGUGCCCCCCGUAUUACAACUUAUCAGGUCAAGCAACACCUGGUGCCUAUAUGCCAAAUCCUGGGAAUGCAUCUUUCAGUGCUACAGCUCAAUCCUCUCAUGCACAAUUCCCAGGCAUGUACCAUCCGCAGCAGCCUCCCUCAAUCGUAAGUCCACAUCCCAUGGUGCAUCAACAGGUCCCAUCUGCCAUUGGUCCCAAUGUUGGAGUUGGUGUGGCUGCACCAGGUCCCCAAGUGGGGGCCUAUCAACAACAGCAGCUUGGUCAUAUGAACUGGAGACAGCCCAACUUUCGCCUCCAGCACGUUCUUCCCCGGAACCCAAAACCGUCCUGGCCUCCCCCCUCCCCCAAGCCAGGCCUAGCUCAGCCGCCGGCGAACAUGGGGACGCGGGAGGUGUACGAGGAGAAGCUCCGAAGCGGCGCGCACCUCCACCGCGACCCGACAAUCAACCCCGGCCUCGGCUCCGCCCGCUGCCCCCGCUGCCUCUCCCUCCUCAACCCCGCCACCAGCUCCGGAGGGCGCGACUGGGCCAUCACCUCCGUCCUGCACGACGCCACCGCCGUGACUGGUUCUGGCGCCGGGGCGAUGCUCAGUGCGGUGCACGGGUUCAAUACAGGGAUCCCGUUCGUCCAGAAGCAUGUGAAGGGCCCCAAGUGGCUGCACUUACUUGUUGGGGUCCCUCCUUUGGUCUUAUUCUCUGGUGCCAGUGCUUUAUUUGGGGCUUACGCGCUCCCAACGUUUGCUCAGCUCACUGUGACAUCCUAUUAUGCUGCAUCAAGUGCCUCUCACUACGCAAUUUCACAGAUCACACGCCAGAUCGAGAAGGCCCAUUUGUCAGGCGCCGAGGAGAAAUCUUGAUUAGCUGCUUGCAAUCAGUCAGUUUGUUUGGUGCACAUGCCAUGUACACGGUAUAUACGGACUCCCUCCUUCUCCAUGUUGCAGUGGUCUGAUAGUUUUGCUGAGUUUCAGGUUCUACCAUAAAGUAUAAUGUGUAGCUUUGCUAAUUGCUACUCAUGUCACUUUUAAGACCAAAUUGUGUUGGAUUCCUUGGCUCUUUUUGCCGUUUGGAUAAAAUGCUAUCUGAAAUUA